AAAGUCGUAACAAGGUUUCCGUAGGUGAACCUGCGGAAGGAUCAUUAACAAAUCUCUUAUGGAGCAAUCCAUAUAUACAUUGUGCAUCCUUUGUAAUGAUGAAUGAAAUAUUUUUUCAUUACAAUGUUGCCAGACCAGUCGGUCUGACAUGAACUAAUUUUAUUGUCUAAAAAUCUUUAUAAUCAAUACAACUUUUAACAAUGGAUCUCUAGGCUCUU
rnacentral:misc_RNA from 1 species